rnacentral:rRNA from 1 species
UGCACCGAAGCUGCGGCAGCGACGCUUAUGCGUUGUUGGGUAGGGGAGCGUUCUGUAAGCCUGUGAAGGUGUGCUGUGAGGCAUGCUGGAGGUAUCAGAAGUGCGAAUGCUGACAUAAGUAACGAUAAAGCGGGUGAAAAGCCCGCUCGCCGGAAGACCAAGGGUUCCUGUCCAACGUUAAUCGGGGCAGGGUGAGUCGACCCCUAAGGCGAGGCCGAAAGGCGUAGUCGAUGGGAAACAGGUUAAUAUUCCUGUACUUGGUGUUACUGCGAAGGGGGGACGGAGAAGGCUAUGUUGGCCGGGCGACGGUUGUCCCGGUUUAAGCGUGUAGGCUGGUUUUCCAGGCAAAUCCGGAAAAUCAAGGCUGAGGCGUGAUGACGAGGCACUACGGUGCUGAAGCAACAAAUGCCCUGCUUCCAGGAAAAGCCUCUAAGCAUCAGGUAACAUCAAAUCGUACCCCAAACCGACACAGGUGGUCAGGUAGAGAAUACCAAGGCGCUUGAGAGAACUCGGGUGAAGGAACUAGGCAAAAUGGUGCCGUAACUUCGGGAGAA